GAGGGAGGAGAGGCGUGGCCUGGUCACAUGAUCACGGCUGGGCGGCGCCCACAGCAAGGGCAAAAUGAGGGAGGAGAGGCGUGGCCUGGUCACAUGAUCACGGCUGGGCGGCGCCCACAGCAAGGUCAAAAUGAGGGAGGAGAGGCGUGGCCUGGUCACAUGAUCACGGCUGGGCGGCGCCCACAGCAAGGGCAAAAUGAGGGAGGAGAGGCGUGGCCUGGUCACAUGAUCACGGCUGGGCGGCGCCCACAGCAAGGUCAAAAUGAGGGAGGAGAGGCGUGGCCUGGUCACAUGAUCACGGCUGGGCGGCGCCCACAGCAAGGUCAAAAUGAGGGAGGAGAGGCGUGGCCUGGUCACAUGAUCACGGCUGGGCGGCGCCCACAGCAAGGGCAAAAUGAGGGAGGAGAGGCGUGG